UACGUAGGUGACCAGCGUUGUCCGGAUUUACUGGGCGUAAAGGGCGCGUAGGCGGCCAGCACAAGUCAGUUGUGAAAUCUCCGGGCUUAACUCGGAACGGCCAAGUGAAACUGUCAAGCUAGAGUGCAGAAGGGGCAAUCGGAAUUCUUGGUGUAGCGGUGAAAUGCGUAGAUAUCAAGAGGAACACCUGAGGUGAAGACGGGUUGCUGGGCUGACACUGACGCUGAGGCGCGAAAGCCAGGGGAGCAAACGGG
rnacentral:rRNA from 1 species